rnacentral:rRNA from 1 species
AGUGAACGCUGGCGGUAGGCCUAACACAUGCAAGUCGAACGGCAGCACAGUAAGAGCUUGCUCUUACGGGUGGCGAGUGGCGGACGGGUGAGGAAUACAUCGGAAUCUACUUUUUCGUGGGGGAUAACGUAGGGAAACUUGCGCUAAUACCGCAUACGACCUACGGGUGAAAGCAGGGGAUCUUCGGACCUUGCGCGAUUGAAUGAGCCGAUGUCGGAUUAGCUAGUUGGCGGGGUAAAGGCCCACCAAGGCGACGAUCCGUAGCUGGUCUGAGAGGAUGAUCAGCCACACUGGAACUGAGACACGGUUCAGACUCCUACGGGAGGCAGCAGUGGGGAAUAUUGGACAAUGGGCGCAAGCCUGAUCCAGCCAUACCGCGUGGGUGAAGAAGGCCUUCGGGUUGUAAAGCCCUUUUGUUGGGAAAGAAAAGCAGCAGGUUAAUACCCCGCUGUUCUGACGGUACCCAAAGAAUAAGCACCGGCUAACUUCGUG